UUUAUGGAGAGUUUGAUCCUGGCUCAGGACGAACGCUGGCGGCGUGCCUAAUACAUGCAAGUCGAGCGGACCUGAUGGAGUGCUUGCACUCCUGAUGGUUAGCGGCGGACGGGUGAGUAACACGUAGGUAACCUGCCUGUAAGACUGGGAUAACAUUCGGAAACGGAUGCUAAUACCGGAUACGCGAAUUGGUCGCAUGGCCGAUUCGGGAAAGACGGAGCAA
rnacentral:rRNA from 1 species